AAACCUGGUGGCUCAACCAUACAGACUAUUAUUCAAACUGGCUAACUCGAGAGUAGCAGAGGUACCUGGAAUUUCUGAAGUAGGGGUAAUAUCCGUAGAUAUCAGAAGGAACACCAAUGGCGUARGCAGGGUACUGGGCUAUUUCUGACGCUAAGGCACGAAAGCGUGGGGAGCGAACCGGAUUAGAUACCCGGGUAGUCCACGCCGUAAACGAUGGAUACUAGCUGUAGGGGGUAUCGACCCCCUCUGUAGCGAAGCUAACGCGUUAAGUAUCCCGCCUGUGGAGUACGGUCGCAAGACUAAAACAUAAAGGAAUUGACGGGGACCCGCACAAGCGGUGGAUCAUGUUCUUUAAUUCGAUGCUAAACGAAGAACCUUACCAGGGUUUGACAUCCCGAGAAUUUUGCCGAAAGGCGAGAGUGCUUAUUGACUCGGUGACAGAUGAUGCAUGGCCGUCGUCAGCUCGUGUCGUGAGAUGUUUGGUUAAGUCCAUCAACGAGCGCAACCCUUGUGAUUAGUUGUAUUUUUCUAAUCAGACUGCCCCGGUAACGGGGAGGAAGGAGGGGAUGAUGUCAGGUCAGUAUUUCUCUUACAUCCUGGGCUAGAAACGUGAUACAAUGGCCGAUACAAUGCGCAUACGCCAACCCGCGAGGGGGAGCAAAUCGCAUCAAAGUCGGUCCCAGUUCGGAUAAGAGGCUGAAACUCGCCUCUUUGAAGUCGGAAUCGCUAGUAAUCGCAGGUCAGCAAACUGCGGUGAAUACGUUCCCGGGUCUUGUACACACCGCCCGUCAAACCAUGAAAGUGACCAACACCCGAAGUCCGAUUCGUCGGCCUAAGGUGGGGGGCAUGAUUGGGGUU
rnacentral:rRNA from 1 species